rnacentral:rRNA from 1 species
UACGGGGGUGGCAAGCGUUGUUCGGAAUUACUGGGCGUAAAGGGCUUGUAGGUGGCCAACUAAGUCAAACGUGAAAUCCCUCAGCUUAACUGGGGAACUGCGUCUGAUACUGGAUGGCUUGAGUUUGGGAGAGGGACGCGGAAUUCCAGGUGUAGCUGUGAAAUGCGUAGAUAUCUGGAGGAACACCGGUGGCGAAGGCGGCAUCCUGGACCGGCAUUGACGCUGAGGCGCGAAAGCCAGGGGAGCAAACGGG